GCCGGCUUAGCUCAGUUAGUAAAGUAACUGAAUUGUAAUCAGUAGGUCACCAGUUCGACUCCGGUAGCCGGCACCA
rnacentral:tRNA from 1 species